GCUAGCGGCAGGCCUAACACAUGCAAGUCGAACGGUAACAGGAAUUAGCUUGCUAAUUUGCUGACGAGUGGCGCACGGGUGCGUAACGCGUAUACAAUCUACCUUUUGCUGAGGGAUAGCCCAGAGAAAUUUGGAUUAAUACCUCAUGGUAUUAUUGAUAGGCAUCUAUUAAUAAUUAAAGGUUACGGCAAAAGAUGAGUAUGCGUCCCAUUAGCUAGUUGGUGAAGUAACGGUUCACCAAGGCAACGAUGGGUAGGGGUCCUGAGAGGGAGAUCCCCCACACUGGUACUGAGACACGGACCAGACUCCUACGGGAGGCAGCAGUGAGGAAUAUUGGACAAUGGGCGAGAGCCUGAUCCAGCCAUGCCGCGUGCAGGAAGACUGCCCUAUGGGUUGUAAACUGCUUUUAUACAGGAAGAAUAAGCCUUACGUGUAAGGUGAUGACGGUACUGUAAGAAUAAGGACCGGCUAACUCCGUGCCAGCAGCCGCGGUAAUACGGAGGGUCCGAGCGUUAUCCGGAAUUAUUGGGUUUAAAGGGUCCGUAGGCGGAUGAUUAAGUCAGGGGUGAAAGUUUGCAGCUCAACUGUAAAAUUGCCUUUGAUACUGGUCAUCUUGAGUUGUAUUGAAGUAGGCGGAAUAUGUAGUGUAGCAGUGAAAUGCAUAGAUAUUACAUAGAACACCAAUUGCGAAGGCAGCUUACUAAGUACUAACUGACGCUGAUGGACGAAAGCGUGGGUAGCGAACAGGAUUAGAUACCCUGGUAGUCCACGCCGUAAACGAUGGAUACUAGCUGUUCGG
rnacentral:rRNA from 1 species